UUAUUAGUUAUAGGCUUUGUUUCAAACAAGAUAAUACCGAUACCGAUACCCGGUCAAGUGUACGGUGACCCUUAUUUCUAUUCAUACAAUACCAACUAAGGAA